CACGUGGGGGGCGAGCGUUGUCCGGAUUUAUUGGGCGUAAAGGGCUCGUAGGCGGCUCAGUAAGUCGGGUGUGAAACCUCCAGGCUCAACCUGGAGACGCCACUCGAUACUGCUGUGGCUAGAGUCCGGUAGGGGAGCAUGGAAUUCCUGGUGUAGCGGUGAAAUGCGCAGAUAUCAGGAGGAACACCAGUGGCGAAGGCGGUGCUCUGGGCCGGAACUGACGCUGAUGAGCGAAAGCGUGGGGAGCAAACAGG
rnacentral:rRNA from 1 species